UACGAACCGUCCAAACGUUAUUCGGAAUCACUGGGCUUAAAGGGUGCGUAGGCGGCUCAGAAAGUAGGGUGUGAAAGCCCUCGGCUCAACCGAGGAAUUGCGCUCUAAACUACUGGGCUUGAGGGAGAUAGAGGUAAGCGGAACUUAGGGUGGAGCGGUGAAAUGCGUUGAUAUCCUAAGGAACACCAGGAGCGAAAGCGGCUUACUGGGUCUCUUCUGACGCUGAGGCACGAAAGCUAGGGGAGCGAACGGGAUUAGAUACCCCGGUAGUCCUAGCCGUAAACGAUGAGCACUGGAUUGGAGGCCCCCCCAUAGGCUUCUAGUCGUAGCGAAAGUGUUAAGUGCUCCGCCUGGGGAGUAUGGUCGCAAGGCUGAA
rnacentral:rRNA from 1 species